rnacentral:lncRNA from 1 species
GUGGACAGAUUUGAGGAAUAUCCUCAUACCCAGCCAGGGAACCUGGUUAUUGAGUGGUGACUUCAACAAUGUGUUAAGCCCUGAUGAUAGAAUUGGAUCUCCUGUCACUGAAGCUGAAGUUAAAGGAUUUAAGACUGUUAUUACUGACCUGCAACUCACACCUCUUAGAGCUAUAGGAUGGCAUUUCACUUGGUCUAAUAAACAAGGCACUGCAACUAGAGUUUAUAGCAAAAUUGAAUGGGCACUGGGCAAUUAUCAAUGGAUACAGCAGUAUGGUCACUUAGAAGCUGAUUUCAUGAACCCUUCAGUGUAUGAUCACUCUCCUAUUCUUAUCAAAUGUGGAGGACUCAAACUGGUUCAGCCUAAGUCAUUCAGAUUGUAUACCAAUAUUAUGGAACUCCCUCAGUUCCAAUGCAUUUUGAAGAAUGUCUGGAGGCUAGAGUAUAAGGGUUCACCUAUCCAGCAGGUUUGGAGUAAGUUGAAGUGUUUGAAACAGCAACUUAAAGAAGUUAAUGCUUAUAUGGCCACAUACAAGCAAAAACUGUACAGGCCAGAGAGACUCUAGAUAUCAUUCAAAAUCAGAUGCAGAAUUGUCUUUUAUCACAGGUGUUAUUUGAUGAAGAGAAAGCACUAUUAGAAGACAUUGAGAAAUGGAGUGCUGUGGAGGAACAAGUUAUGAGACAGAAAUCCAAAGCAUGUUGGAUUGACUGUGGUGAUGCCAAUACUAAGUAUUUCCAUGCCCAGUGGAAGAUCAAAACAUCCCAAACCAACAUUACUUCCAUAUACACUGACAUAGGCCUGAAGCUCACAAAACCUGAAGAUGUAGAGCAAGAGUUUAUAAAAGUAUUCAAGUCAUUGAUGGGAGAUUCUGAAAAGGAGUUGCCUUGUGCUAACACAACUAUUUAGGCCUGAAGCUCACAGAACCUGAAGAUGUAGAGCAAGAGUUUAUUAAAGUAUUCCAGUCAUUGAUGGGAGAUUGUGAAAAAGAGUUGCCUUGUGCUAACACAACUAUUAUCAGAGAAGGGAAAUGCUUAUCAAGGAUGCAACAAACAAUGCUGAUCCAGGAGGUUACUGUGGAGGAAAUCACUGGAACUAUUAAGGAAAUGCCAAAGGAUAAAGCACCUGGAGUGGAUGGCUUUCCUGUGGAAUUUUUUACCAGAAACUCGGAUAUAGUUAAAGAGGAUAUCUUGUUGCUGUAAAGGAUUUCUUCAACACUUGUAGAAUGCCUCAAAUGAUUAAUACUACUGCUAUAGCUCUUAUUCCCAGAGAUAAAACCCCAGCAACUGUGAAAGAUUACAGACCUAUAGCUUGCUGCACCACCUUGUAUAAGAUCAUCUCCAAAGUCAUCACUAGGAGGAUGAAA